rnacentral:rRNA from 1 species
GAUGAACGCUGGCGGCGUGCCUAAUACAUGCAAGUCGAGCGAACGGACGAGAAGCUUGCUUUUCUGAUGUUAGCGGCGGACGGGUGAGUAACACGUGGAUAACCUACCUAUAAGACUGGGAUAACUUCGGGAAACCGGAGCUAAUACCGGAUAAUAUUUUGAACCGCAUGGUUCAAAAGUGAAAGACGGUCUUGCUGUCACUUAUAGAUGGAUCCGCGCUGCAUUAGCUAGUUGGUAAGGUAACGGCUUACCAAGGCAACGAUGCAUAGCCGACCUGAGAGAGUGAUCGGCCACACUGGAACUGAGACACGGUCCAGACUCCUACGGGAGGCAGCAGUAGGGAAUCGUCCGCAAUGGGCGAAAGCCUGACGGAGCAACGCCGCGUGAGUGAUGAAGGUCUUCGGAUCGUAAAACUCUGUUAUUAGGGAAGAACAUAUGUGUAAGUAACUGUGCACAUCUUGACGGUACCUAAUCAGAAAGCCACGGCUAACUACGUG